UAAUCAAGACUGCUUGCUGAACUAACAUGG
rnacentral:piRNA from 1 species